UCGAAUUAUAACCCAGGCGAGGAGAAAUCGGCCGGUUGUCGCUGGCCUUUUGCUAGGCAUGUGCACGCUUUCCGAGGAAACCUCGCCUUAUGGGCGCGGGCCCACGCCCGCGUCUUCAUAUACCUCUUCGUGUAGAAAGUCUUUGAAUGUUUAUACUAUCAUCGAGUCGCGACUUCUAGGAGACGCGAUUCGACGAGACAAAAGUUUAUUC
rnacentral:misc_RNA from 1 species